rnacentral:rRNA from 1 species
UACGUAGGGUGCGAGCGUUAAUCGGAAUUACUGGGCGUAAAGCGUGUGCAGGCGGUCUGUUAAGACAGGUGUGAAAUCCCCGGGCUUAACCUGGGAAUGGCGUUUGUUACCGGCAGACUAGAGUGCGUCAGAGGGGGGUGGAAUUCCACGUGUAGCAGUGAAAUGCGUAGAGAUGUGGAGGAACACCGAUGGCGAAGGCAGCCCUCUGGGCUAACACUGACGCUCAUGCACGAAAGCGUGGGGAGCAAACAGG